AUCAUUACAUUUUUAAUAGAAAGUUGACAUUAUUCAAAAUGUGUUAUGACAACUUGACAUUAACCCAGAUAUCAUGAUCUGUCAAAUUUGUUAUAGAAGUAUUACUGAUUAAACUUUAAAAAUUAUGUCGCUUUAUCUGGUAAUAUAUUGCUCUGCCAUUUUGUUUAGUCUUAAAUUUCUAAUUGAUCUGAAGUUUUACAGCAAGAUGUCUACAAAUCACUUACAAACUUUGCAUUUGAAACAUUAUUUAAGGCUGUUUCAAGUAGUGCAGUACACCAUCUCCACCAGUGAGAGGCAGCAGUGCACGAACAGGCGUGCAGUAAGAAGAAGUGAAAAAGAAAUCUUCCAUCUUGUGGGGCCAACCUAACAAGUUAUAACCAAGUCCACCUCGCUGCAGCAAACAGAAAGGGGCGGGACGGACCACUGUCAGUCACAUACCUUAUUUGGAUAUAGGACCAUUGCACUCCGGAAGUGAAGGGGGCGCUAUUUCCUAUAUUAUCCACGGUUUUCAACAAAUUCCGUAGCUUUCUGUGUACUUCUAAAUCUACUCCUUAGUCGCAUCUUUUUGGGCCUGCUACUGCCUCUAGUGGUUUGGGGGUGGUAACACAACUAAUAUAAUUACGUUACAAAACGAGAAUACCAAAGUCUUUAUUGUUUACUAUUAAUUUUGCCAUUACUGGCAACGUAAAAGAUGAAGUGUCUUCUAAAACACCAUAUUUUUCCAUUUUCUUUAGGAUGUAGAGCUAAUUAGGUGACAUAAACAAUACUUGUAUACAUUAUAAAUAAUAUCUAUAUACAGUAUCUAUAUAGAUAUAUCUCCAUCAAUUAUGGGAGGAACAAAAGAAAUAAGACAUGAAAAACAAAAUGAUCAACUAUAAUAAAAAUACCAUUUACAAUGUAUACAUAAGAAAUUUAAUUGAGCAAAAGUCAAUAAACAAACAAAUUAAUUAGGUUCACAGAAGAAUAACCAGGAUUGUUAAACAGAUACAAGCAAUAAUUUACAUUUUUAUUUUUACUGUGCCAUCUUAUUCUUUUUGUUGGUAGAGUCUUAUAUAUAGGAAAAAAUAUGGUUAAACUAUUUAGUCUUCCAAAGUUGAAAUUUGUCUUCGGCUCUAAAACUAUAAAAUAAAACUCUUUUAUAGAAUCACAAUAUCAACAAUUUGUGCAUCGAGUAAAAUACUUUGGGUGCUACAGGUAAAUGUUAUCAUUUAGUUUGGCUAAGAAUAAUUAUUGCAUCGUCAAUAAAUGACUUCUAAUAGAUGUUUUAUAGUUACCAGAGGAAAACAGUAAGGCCUUCAUGAGCUAAAACUAUUACUAUUUUACCUGCCAUUGAAAGUUUUCUUAAAAGUUUCUCUGUUAGUCUGCAGCUCAUGUGACCAAACCAGCUGAAAAUAUGAAAAGUUAAAACAACAGUUAAAACUUGAGAUGAGUUAAAACUCAAGUUAAAAUGUAAAGUUUUAACAUUUUAACUCAACAACCUCUACCUAACUGGUUGUACACAACCUCUGGUUGGGUAACCCAAAGAUCACUGGGUCUUCUAAAAAGAUAAAGUCUCUGAAAACAUUUCUUAAAAAUAUAACCAGUGUUUUCAGCAAAACUGAGCUGACUGUCCAGGAACGACCCGAGGUAUUUAAAAUUAGCCACAGUUUCAACAGGUUGGCCAUCGAGUGAAACUGGAAUCACUUUCAGGUUUUGUUUAUGUAAUUUAAUUAGCUCUACUUACUAAAGGAAAUGAAACUGUAUGGUAUUUUGUGAGGAAAUUUAUCUUUUAAGGUUCCAGUAAUGCCAGAAUUAAUAAUAAAUAAUAAAGAUGUUGUGGUAUUCUGAUUUAGUAAUGUAAUUAUAUUAGUUGUGUUACCACCCCCACGCCACUAGAGGCAGUAUCAGGCCAGAAAAGAUGCAACUAAGGAGCAGAUUUGGAAGUACACAGAAAGCUACGAAAUUUGUUAAAAACUGUGAGCUGAACUGAAGUAAAUAAAAGAGAGAAGUUCAAAUACAUGUUGAGAGUGAAAAUCCUUCCUAAAGGUAAAAAUAUAUCAGAUUUCAAAAGAAAACAAAAACCGGAGGUCGCGGAUAAUAUCGGAAAUAGCGCCCCCUUCACUUGUGGAGUGCAAUGGUCCCAUUUCCAAAUAAGGUCUGAGACUGACAGCGGUCCGUCCCGCCCUUCCUGUUUGCUGCAGCCAGGUUCUUCUUGUUAUAACGGCCAGACCUCCUGUUUAAAAAGAAGCUGAAGUUUGACACCUGAUACAUAUGAGGUCUAAUAAUAUGUGUCGUAUUAACUACAUUUUCUUUGAGAAAAUAACAUUGACUAUGUUCUCUUUCUUUAUAAUGUUAGCUAUGAGCAAUUCAAGCCAAUCCUACCUUGCUGUAAGUUAAUGUUAGCUAAAGUUAUUAAACUCCAUUACUGUAACGUUAGCCCUUAAUAUUAAACAUAUUUUAAAGGCAGAUAAAUAGGUUUUUCCCCUCCAAUAUUAACCUAACAAAUUAAAAGCUAAUUUGUUAGUCACAGUUAUCCUUUAUGGACAUCAAUUAGCAAUUUCUCUGAUGUGACAUGGUGCUUGUGUUCGUUGCUUUGGCAACUUUAUCCACAUGAAGACCCAUUUCAGCCUAAGGACACAUGGAGGGGAGUGGGGGGGCAAAGGUGACUAAUGAAGACGAGCUACAGGUGUGGAGGAUGAUGAUGAGGACCAGCCACCAGAGGAAGAAAUUCCUGUUUGACCAAAGAGAAAGCAGCAGAUGAAAUAUUCCCCAAGAAAAUUAGUGACCACAGUGGAUUGGUCACUUCAAAGAAGACAACAUGAAGAUCUCCCUGUUAUCAGAGCGUUACAGGAAGUCUAUAGAGGAGAUGGCUGACACAAUCACUGCAAAAAAAAUAUUAGGACUGUUGAAAGAACCUAUUUUCUUAAGUUAAAGAAUAAUUAAUUCUGUUUUAGUUUUUCAAUCAGUAUUUCACAGUUACAAUAUACUGACCAGAAGUUAAACCCUGUUUGAAGAACAAGUAAUCUUUUGUUUUAUUCCAAUGUACAAAGUGUUUGUUCUACUGUAUGGUAGUUAUCAGUAAUCCAGUGUUUCUCACUUCACUUGAGGUAAAACUUAACAUUAAUGACUGUUAAUGCUGACAAUUAAUGACAUCUUUAUAACUGUUGCUGCUUGUUUCACUUGAUGUAAGAGGAAUUAUUAAUGACUCUUAUUAACUCAUUUGACAAAGUAAUAAAGCUUAUUGAAAUCUUUA